AUGAACGCUAGCUACAGGCUUAACACAUGCAAGUCGAGGGGCAGCAUCAUCAAAGCUUGCUUUGAUGGAUGGCGACCGGCGCACGGGUGAGUAACACGUAUCCAACCUGCCGACAACACUGGGAUAGCCUUUCGAAAGAAAGAUUAAUACCGGAUGGCAUAGUUUUCCCGCAUGGGAUAAUUAUUAAAGAAUUUCGGUUGUCGAUGGGGAUGCGUUCCAUUAGGCAGUUGGCGGGGUAACGGCCCACCAAACCAACGAUGGAUAGGGGUUCUGAGAGGAAGGUCCCCCACAUUGGAACUGAGACACGGUCCAAACUCCUACGGGAGGCAGCAGUGAGGAAUAUUGGUCAAUGGACGAGAGUCUGAACCAGCCAAGUAGCGUGAAGGAUGACUGCCCUAUGGGUUGUAAACUUCUUUUAUACGGGAAUAAAGUGAGCCACGUGUGGCUUUUUGUAUGUACCGUAUGAAUAAGGAUCGGCUAACUCCGUGCCAGCAGCCGCGGUAAUACGGAGGAUCCGAGCGUUAUCCGGAUUUAUUGGGUUUAAAGGGAGCGUAGGCGGGUUGUUAAGUCAGUUGUGAAAGUUUGCGGCUCAACCGUAAAAUUGCAGUUGAUACUGGCGACCUUGAGUGCAACAGAGGUAGGCGGAAUUCGUGGUGUAGCGGUGAAAUGCUUAGAUAUCACGAAGAACUCCGAUUGCGAAGGCAGCUUACUGGAUUGUAACUGACGCUGAUGCUCGAAAGUGUGGGUAUCAAACAGGAUUAGAUACCCUGGUAGUCCACGCCGUAAACGAUGAAUACUAGGUGUUGGGGAGCAAAGCUCUUCGGUGCCGCAGCAAACGCAAUAAGUAUUCCACCUGGGGAGUACGUUCGCAAGAAUGAAACUCAAAGGAAUUGACGGGGGCCCGCACAAGCGGAGGAACAUGUGGUUUAAUUCGAUGAUACGCGAGGAACCUUACCCGGGCUUAAAUUGCAACUGACGGAACCGGAAACGGUUCUUUCUUCGGACAGUUGUGAAGGUGCUGCAUGGUUGUCGUCAGCUCGUGCCGUGAGGUGUCGGCUUAAGUGCCAUAACGAGCGCAACCCUUACGGGUAGUUACCAUCAGGUUAUGCUGGGGACUCUACCCGGACUGCCGUCGUAAGAUGUGAGGAAGGUGGGGAUGACGUCAAAUCAGCACGGCCCUUACGUCCGGGGCUACACACGUGUUACAAUGGGGGGUACAGAAGGCAGCUACACGGCGACGUGGUGCUAAUCCCAAAAGCCUCUCUCAGUUCGGAUUGGAGUCUGCAACCCGACUCCAUGAAGCUGGAUUCGCUAGUAAUCGCGCAUCAGCCACGGCGCGGUGAAUACGUUCCCGGGCCUUGUACACACCGCCCGUCAAGCCAUGAAAGCCGGGGGUACCUGAAGUACGUAACCGCGAGGAGCGUCCUAGGGUAAAACUGGUGAUUGGGGCU
rnacentral:rRNA from 1 species